rnacentral:rRNA from 1 species
GUAAGGUAUUACAGGUUGGUCCUGCCCAGUGAUAAAUAUUAAACGGCCGCAGUAGCCUGACUGUGCAAAGGUAGCAUAGUAAUUUGCCCUUUGAUUGGGGGCUUGUAUGAAUGGAUGAAUGAGAUGAAAGCUGUCUUUUCUGUUUUCUUUGAAAUUGAUUUUUAGGUGCAGAGGCCUGAAUGUUGGUAGAGGACAAGAAGACCCUAUUGAGCUUUAUCUAGCGAGGGCUUUUGUGAGUAGUUGUUGGGUUUGGUUGGGGCGACAGAGGAAUAAAUAAAACUUCCUUUUUAUUUUUGACCCUCUAGUUUUAUAUUAGCCAGAUUUACUGAUUAGAGAAGUAAGCUACCAUAGGGAUAACAGGCUAAUUUUCUUUGAGAGUUCACAUUGACAAGAAAGUUUGGCACCUCGAUGUUGGCUUAGGGUAUCCUAUUGGUGUAGAAGCUGAUAAUGGUGGGUUUGUUCAACCUUUAAAACCUUACGUGAUCUGA